GAACGCUGGCGGCGUGCCUAACACAUGCAAGUCGAGCGAAUGAAGUUCCUUCGGGAAUGGAUUUAGCGGCGGACGGGUGAGUAACACGUGGGCAACCUGCCUCAUAGAGGGGAGUAGCCUUCCGAAAGGGAGAUUAAUACCGCAUAAGAUUGUAGUACCGCAUGGUACAGCAAUUAAAGGAGCAAUCCGCUAUGAGAUGGGCCCGCGGCGCAUUAGCUAGUUGGUGAGGUAACGGCUCACCAAGGCGACGAUGCGUAGCCGACCUGAGAGGGUGAUCAGCCACAUUGGGACUGAGACACGGCCCAGACUCCUACGGGAGGCAGCAGUGGGGAAUAUUGCACAAUGGGGGAAACCCUGAUGCAGCAACGCCGCGUGAGUGAUGACGGCCUUCGGGUUGUAAAGCUCUGUCUUCAGGGACGAUAAUGACGGUACCUGAGGAGGAAGCCACGGCUAACUACGUG
rnacentral:rRNA from 1 species